CCUGAUGGCACUAAUUUAAAAAAAAUUGUACACUGAUUAUUUAAUCAAUUUGAGAUUAAGCUUCUUUGACGAGGUUUAAUAAUCUUCACAGUGUGGAUAUUCACGUUUUUGCUGCAGCUGCUGGGCUACUGCCAUAGGACUUUAUAUAAACAGACAACACCUGUCAGCAAAACACUCCAUUCGCUGAGCAUGAAAUCUUAUUAACUGCCUUACAAAAAAUACCAAGGGGGAUAAUAAUAAGAUCUUUUAUUGGGGGGAAAAAAAAUCAAAAGGAAAAGAAAAACAAAAAAUUCAGCCUGACAAGCGUCAUCGAGCCAGCCAGGCUGUGGGGAAGUGCUUGGCUCGGACUGUCCUCAGCAGGUGCCCAGGGCGCAGUAGGCAAGGUUCAGCGCCAGCAGGAGCUUUUCCACACGGCUGGAGCCAUGGUGUGCCUGUGUCCGCCCCUCAGAGAUCCAGGAGCGGGCGUCUUUAUCUUCUUCUCCGGAGGCCGGGGCUCAGCAGCAGGCAGCGUCUCAAAUCAGCCGGGCCCUUGGGGAAGGGCUGAAGGCAAUGGGGUUGGGCUGCAGUUUUUCCACACCUGGUCUGGUCUUCCCUGCUGCUACCAGAGGCCCAGUAUGAUCUGUUGGACUGGGCCCACACGUCUUUCUCAAACCCUCAGAUUCAGGCUUUUAGGAAUCCGGUCCAGCGGUUCCCUUUUGAAUCUCUCCCAGUGA
rnacentral:lncRNA from 1 species